UUUUAAUUAUUUUUAAUGAUUUAAUAGCGAUUUAAUUUCGUGUUGCGUGAUCUUAUUACAAAUAAGUUUUAUUAUAAAUGAAUCAAGGAAAUUUUAACAGAUAAUUUGUUGCUUACCCCAUCUAGCGGUACCAUCCGGUAUUAAAUCGUUUUUGACAUUUAGAGAAGCGCUUCAAAUUAUUAAAGUUUGCGAGAAAGUAAGUUUAAUUGAACCGAAAUACGUUUUUGAAGUCGAUUAUCUCUGUAAUAUUUAGUGGAUAUCAUAUUGGAGGUGAUUAUCACAACGAGCAUUAAAGAAUCCAAUUACACUCGAAGACUUCAAGUAUGGGUUAACUUCAACAUUUGAUUCAAAAAAUGGAUAAAUACCUCCACUUUUGUGAAUAUGGCAGAAAAUAACAAGGGAAUCUCAACUUAAAGAGGAAUUCGGAACAAUUAUGGUUACUUUUCUAUAAUUAUUAAAAUAAAUAAAUAAAUAAUCGUGAAGGAAGAUUAUGUUAAGUGUUAAUAACUGAUUUUGGAAGAAAUGCAUAAAGAUUUAAAUGAUGUAGGAAUAAGGAAGACGUUCUUCGAUUUAAAGUCCAACAUUGAGGAAUGGGAAUGCGUAGAAUGUUGAGGAGGCCAAAACCCACCAAGGAUUAUAGAGCCAAAAGAAAACGAAGAACAUCCAAGUGGAUUUUAAUUCAUAAUAACAGCAACCCAAAUUACAUCUUUUAUUUGAAAUCUAUUACACCUUUACAACCAAAUGCAGACAAAUUGUUGCAUAAAGAAUUACAUGGUCAUAAUUGUACGAAUUGAUGUAGCAAUAAGGGAGACGUUCUUUGAUUUAGUCCAACGUUGAGGAAUGGGAAUGGUGGAGAAUUGUUGAGGAGGCCAAAACCCACCAAAGAUUGUAGAGUCAUAAAAUCCAAGAGGAUUUUAAUUCACAAUAAAAGUAUAAAUAAUGUACAGAAGGAAAAAUAUCUCCAAGAUUAAGAUUAUACUGCGUAUAUUGGAACUCGGGGCUUUAAUAACAAUUAUUUGGACCACUUCUUAUCACAGGACUUCUACGUUUCAAAUGGAAUUUCGUCGAUUCCUUUGAGCGG